GGGCGAUUAGCUCAGUUGGUAGAGCAGCUGACUCUUAAUCAGCAGGUCGUAGGUUCGAGCCCUACAUCGCUCA
rnacentral:tRNA from 1 species